AGCGAACGCUAGCGGCGGGCCUAACACAUGCAAGUCGAGCGGGAGCAAUCCCAGCGGCGAACGGGUGAGUAACACGUGGGUAAUGUGCCUUCUGGUGGGGAAUAACCUUGGGAAACCAGGGCUAAUACCGCAUAUCAUGCUUCGGCAUGAAAGCCUUCGGGCGCCAGUAGAGCAGCCUGCGUCCCAUUAUUUAGUCCUAGUUGGUAGGGUAAUGGCCUACCAAGGGUACGAUGGGUAGCUGGUCUGAGAGGAUGGCCAGCCACACUGGGACUGAGACACGGCCCAGACUCCUACGGGAGGCAGCAGUGGGGAAGUAUUGGACAAUGGGCGGCAAGCCUGAUCCAGCAAUGCCGCGUGUGUGAAGAAGG
rnacentral:rRNA from 1 species